rnacentral:lncRNA from 1 species
AUCAACCAGUAAGAGUAAAAUAUGUUAAUUCAUAAGUUUAUCAAACUAUUUGGACAAGUUUUUUAUGUCAAACUCGACAAUAUUAAAGAAGUGAAUGACUGGGUGGACGACAAAAUGUACUUACACUGAAUUUGUAGUGACGAACAACGGAUUCAACACUUGAAGGAUGCCAGAAAAUUGCCACCAGAAACAAAGCAAGAACACGCAAUGGUAUCAUUUUUUUUUUCCUGAAUUCUAGACUGUCUUAUGUUUAGCACAAAUCAAUGUUUGACCUGUUGACAUUAUAAAUAAAAAGGGAGAAAACUUGUUUAU